UACAGAGGUCCCAAGCGUUGUUCGGAUUCACUGGGCGUAAAGGGUGCGUAGGCGGUCGGGUAAGUCUGAUGUGAAAUCUCACAGCUUAACUGUGAAACUGCAUUGGAUACUAUCCGGCUAGAGGAAUGGAGGGGAGACUGGAAUACUUGGUGUAGCAGUGAAAUGCGUAGAUAUCAGGAGGAAUACCUAUGGCGAAAGCAGGUCUCUGGGCCACAACUGACGCUGAGCUGCGAAAGCUAGGGGAGCAAACAGG
rnacentral:rRNA from 1 species